rnacentral:rRNA from 1 species
CACUCCUACGGGAGGCAGCAGUGGGGAAUAUUGGACAAUGGGCGCAAGCCUGAUCCAGCCAUGCCGCGUGAGUGAUGAAGGCCCUAGGGUUGUAAAGCUCUUUCACCGGUGAAGAUAAUGACGGUAACCGGAGAAGAAGCCCCGGCUAACUUCGUGCCAGCAGCCGCGGUAAUACGAAGGGGGCUAGCGUUGUUCGGAUUUACUGGGCGUAAAGCGCACGUAGGCGGACUAUUGAGUCAGGGGUGAAAUCCCGGGGCUCAACCCCGGAACUGCCUUUGAUACUGGUAGUCUUGAGUUCGAGAGAGGUGAGUGGAAUUCCGAGAGUAGAGGUGAAAUUCGUAGAUAUUCGGAGGAACACCAGUGGCGAAGGCGGCUCACUGGCUCGAUACUGACGCUGAGGUGCGAAAGCGUGGGGAGCAAACAGGAUUAGAAACCCGUGUAGUCC